CACCAAGGCUGCGAUGGUUAGCCGGCUUAAGAGGGUGAUCGGCCACAUUGGGACUGAGAUACGGCCCAGACUCCUACGGGAGGCAGCAGUAGGGAAUUUUGCGCAAUGGACGAAAGUCUGACGCAGCAACGCCGCGUGAGCGAUGAAGGUUUUCGGAUUGUAAAGCUCUGUUGAGUGGGAAGAAAACUCUCCGGGAUAAUACCCCGGAGACUUGACGGUACCACUCGAGGAAGCCCCGGCUAAAUACGUGCCAGCAGCCGCGGUAAUACGUAUGGGGCAAGCGUUGUUCGGAAUCACUGGGCGUAAAGGGAGUGUAGGCGGAAAGGUAAGUUGGAAGUGUAAUCCACGGGCUUAACCCGUGACUCGCUUUUAAUACUGCUUUUCUUGAGUAUGGGAGAGGGAGAUGGAAUUCCAGGUGUAGCGGUGGAAUGCGUAGAUAUCUGGAAGAACACCAGUAGCGAAGGCGGUCUCCUGGCCCAAUACUGACGCUGAGGCUCGAAAGCUUGGGGAGCGAACAGGAUUAGAUACCCUGGUAGUCCACGCCGUAAACGAUGGACACUAGAUGUUGGCCUCUUCGGGGGUCGGUGUCGUAGCUAACGCGUUAAGUGUCCCGCCUGGGAAGUACGCUCGCAAGAGUGAAACUCAAAGGAAUUGACGGGGGCCCGCACAACCGGUGGAGCAUGUGCUUUAAUUCGAUGCAACGCGAAGAACCUUACCUGGACUUGACAUGGGGGUGAAAGUUUUCAGAGAUGAAAACCCUUCCUUCGGGAACGCCCUACACAGGUGCUGCAUGGUUGUCGUCAGCUCGUGUCGUGAGAUGUUGGGUUAAGUCCCGCAACGAGCGCAACCCUUGUCCUUAGUUGCCAGCGGGUCAUGCCGGGAACUCUAGGGAGACUGCCUGGUACAACCAGGAGGAAGGUGGGGAUGACGUCAAAUCAUCAUGGCCCUUACGUCCAGGGCUAGACACGUGCUACAAUGGCCGGUACAGAGGGCUGCAAGACUGCGAAGUCAAGCCAAUCCCUAAAAACCGGUCUCAGUUCGGAUUGGAGUCUGCAAUUCGACUCCAUGAAGGUGGAAUCGCUAGUAAUCGCGGAUCAGCAUGCCGCGGUGAUACGUUCCCGGGCCUUGUACACACCGCCCGUCAAGCCACGAAAGAUGCCAGUGCCCGAAGUCGCUACUCUAACCCUCACGGGAGG
rnacentral:rRNA from 1 species